rnacentral:rRNA from 1 species
ACGCUGACAGAAUGCUUAACACAUGCAAGUCAACUUGAAUUUGGGUUUUUAACUUAGAUUUGGGUGGCGGACGGGUGAGUAACGCGUAAAGAACUUGCCUCACAGCUAGGGACAACAUUUAGAAAUGAAUGCUAAUACCUGAUAUUAUGAUUUUAAGGCAUCUUAGAAUUAUGAAAGCUAUAAGCACUGUGAGAGAGCUUUGCGUCCCAUUAGCUAGUUGGAGAGGUAACAGCUCACCAAGGCGAUGAUGGGUAGCCGGCCUGAGAGGGUGAACGGCCACAAGGGGACUGAGACACGGCCCUUACUCCUACGGGAGGCAGCAGUGGGGAAUAUUGGACAAUGGACCGAGAGUCUGAUCCAGCAAUUCUGUGUGCACGAUGAAGUUUUUCGGAAUGUAAAGUGCUUUCAGUUGGGAAGAAAGAAAUGACGGUACCAACAGAAGAAGUGACGGCUAAAUACGUGCCAGCAGCCGCGGUAAUACGUAUGUCACGAGCGUUAUCCGGAUUUAUUGGGCGUAAAGCGCGUCUAGGUGGUUAUGUAAGUCUGAUGUGAAAAUGCAGGGCUCAACUCUGUAUUGCGUUGGAAACUGUGUAACUAGAGUACUGGAGAGGUAAGCGGAACUACAAGUGUAGAGGUGAAAUUCGUAGAUAUUUGUAGGAAUGCCGAUGGGGAAGCCAGCUUACUGGACAGAUACUGACGCUAAAGCGCGAAAGCGUGGGUAGCAAACAGGAUUAGAUACCCUGGUAGUCCACGCUGUAAACGAUGAUUACUAGGUGUUGGGGGUCGAACCUCAGCGCCCAAGCAAACGCGAUAAGUAAUCCGCCUGGGGAGUACGUACGCAAGUAUGAAACUCAAAGGAAUUGACGGGGACCCGCACAAGCGGUGGAGCAUGUGGUUUAAUUCGACGCAA